UACGUAGGUGGCAAGCGUUGUCCGGAUUUACUGGGCGUAAAGAGCGCGCAGGCGGUCAGAUAAGUCGAAUGUGAAAGCCCCCGGCUCAACUGGGGAGGGUCAUUCGAUACUGUUCGACUCGAAGGCAGGAGAGGGAAGUGGAAUUCCCGGUGUAGUGGUGAAAUGCGUAGAUAUCGGGAGGAACACCAGUGGCGAAGGCGACUUCCUGGCCUGCUCUUGACGCUGAGGCGCGAAAGCUAGGGGAGCAAACGGG
rnacentral:rRNA from 1 species